CGGCCGCGUCGACCGAGAAUCAACGGAUCGAGGAUUCGUCCAAGUGAAGUUGAGGAAAGUGGCGGACGGGUGAGUAACGCGUGAGGAACCUGCCUCGGAGUGGGGAAUAACAGUUGGAAACAGCUGCUAAUACCGCAUGAUGCAGUUGGGUCGCAUGACCCUGACUGCCAAAGAUUUAUCGCUCUGAGAUGGACCUGCGUUGUAUUAGCUAGUAGGUGAGGUAACGGCUCACCUAGGCGACGAUACAUAGCCGACCUGAGAGGGUGAUCGGCCACACUGGGACUGAGACACGGCCCAGACUCCUACGGGAGGCAGCAGUAGGGAAUCUUCGGCAAUGGGGGCAACCCUGACCGAGCAACACCGCG
rnacentral:rRNA from 1 species